CCUACGGGUGGCAGCAGUGAGGAAUAUUGGUCAAUGGGCGCUAGCCUGAACCAGCCAAGUAGCGUGAAGGAUGACUGCCCUAUGGGUUGUAAACUUCUUUUAUAUGGGAAUAAAGUGCAGUAUGUAUACUGCUUUGCAUGUACCUUAUGAAUAAGGAUCGGCUAACUCCGUGCCAGCAGCCGCGGUAAUACGUAGGGAGCAAGCGUUGUCCGGAUUUACUGGGUGUAAAGGGUGCGUAGGCGGUCUUGCAAGUCAGACGUGAAAACCACAGGCUCAACCUGUGGACUGCGUUUGAAACUGUGGGGCUUGAGUGAAGUAGAGGUAGGCGGAAUUCGUCGUGUAGCGGUGAAAUGCUUAGAUAUGACGAAGAACCCCGAUUGCGAAGGCAGCUUGCUGCAGCGGAACUGACGCUGAUGCUCGAAAGCGCGGGUAUCGAACAGGAUUAGAUACCCGGGUAGUC
rnacentral:rRNA from 1 species